UACGGAGGGUGCAAGCGUUGCUCGGAAUUAUUGGGCGUAAAGGGUCGGUAGGUGGUCUCAUUUGUCUGGGGUGAAAGCCUUGAGCUUAACUCAAGAAGUGCCCCAGAAACGGUGAGACUAGAGUCCUGGAGAGGGUCGUGGAAUUCCCGGUGUAGCGGUGAAAUGCGUAGAGAUCGGGAGGAACACCAGAGGCGAAGGCGGCGACCUGGACAGGCACUGACACUCAACUACGAAAGCGUGGGGAGCAAACAGG
rnacentral:rRNA from 1 species